UCCUUAUCCCCACACGUCUUCUCCCUCUCCCCUAGAUCCUUCGACGCCGCCCUCCCUCAGCUCAUUCCCUGCCGCCGCUCAUCUGCUGGCCUUGUCUCACUGCCGCCCAACCAUUUUCCUCCCUCAAGCUAGCACGCAGCCUCAACUCCUCUCCCACCUCACGCACGUCUCUCCCAGCCGUUCCUUCAUUUCUCUGGCUCGUCCUUCUCCAUGGGGUCGCGCCCUGCUGCGCCGUCGUGCUGGUCGCCGGCUGAGCCCCCUUCAGUGCCUGACGCCGCAUCUCCCUGGUGCUCACCUCUGUUUCCCCCUGCGUUGGACGACCUCGCACUCCCUCCCUGCUCUAGAUUUCUCCAUGGCCGCCCCUUUCCUUGCCCCGGGUGGCGAGCUCGCCCCUGCAUUCCUGCUCGCCUAAUCUCCACUUCCCUAUUCCAGCCACCUCCCAUGGACGCCAGCCCUCAGCCAUGGAUGCCGAACCCCCUCUCUUUAGUGCCUUUCUUUACAGCCCCUGCGUCGCCGUGCGUGUAAGGUGUUUGUAUAAAUGCUCAAGAGGAGUGCCGUGUCAUGGCCAACUCUUUUGGCGUCGUCGGAUGUUUGAUGUUUUGUGCAUCCCGUCUACGACGCCGUCGACCAUCGGUGAGGAUUCGUUCUUGCUUUGUCAUUUCAUCGAUCGACGUCUAUUUGCUAAUAUGAAUUGUGUUUAUGUGCCUAUGUGUGUUGAGGAGCGAAAUCCGUGAAAUCUAGGUGAAGAAGAGAUGGAGCACGUCGUCGUCAUGGUUGCAGCUUUGCUUUUGUCGUCGUGGAGCCUCCACCAGCGCCGUGUAGCAUUCAGGAACAAUGGAACCAAAAUACAGGACAUUUUCCUACUUCACGUCUGGAUGCCAUCCAAUUAAUAUCUUCUCUACGAUAUUGCAAUGGAAGGUGUAGAUAGAUGCAAGUAUACAUUCAAUGUUCUUAUGAUAGAGGAAAGGCAUAGCUGCAGAUGGGUUUGAUGUUUUAUCUUUUCAUUCAUGCAUUUCAUCCCAUGCGCAUAAACAAUUUCCAAGUAGCUUGUGUAUCCAAACUUGGUUCUUUUGUUCACUCAGCCAGGUUGUACUGUCUCAUUCAGAAUUCGGAUUUUUCAGCCAUUAACCCGCAUUUUCUAUUGGAUCGUUUUAGAUUCAUUUGUUUUAUCUAUUAGACCGUACUCUAUAUUGUUUCAUUUGAGGACAUUUCAAAUGGUUGUUGUAGGUAUGUGAUAGAUGACUAGAAGAAAAUUAUAAAAGGAUGUUGAAUAAGAUUGUGCUUAUUUUCUCGUGACGAAGGUUUUUUCUAUGCUUAGGGACUGCUCUUAUGUGUUAUUGGUGCUAUUCCGCUUGUACGGCCAACGAAAUAGGUCCUACUACACAAGGGAAAUAGAGGAUACCAUACUCUUAGCUUCACAGAAGCCUGAAGUGUAUGAUGACAUUGCUCGCGAUACGUGCUGCAAAUUUGGGAUAGAUAGACCUCAAGUUGUACCUGUGCAAGGACUACCUCAGGUUUGAACCAUACUUAUGGAAUGCAUGUAAGAGGUUUGUGUUGGAGCACCGGGCUGGCGAGAACCGUGCUCCAAUCAUUUCAGAUGAUAGCCCCAACAAAGAUAUCAACAAUGCCUUCUAUAAUAUCGUGAUGAUGAAAAAGUCAAAGGUCAGUUUUGUGGAAAACAUACAAUAUGUUGGUAUCUUCAAUAGUAUAAGAUCAUGUACCACACGUCGACAUCAAUAUUGACUAAUUUCUUUCAAUAGGAUGGGAGAAUGUUGAAUGCUUCUUCAGAUACUAUUUCUUGGUCUGUCAAAUCUGCUUGACCCAAAUGCAAGUUUUGUUCAAAUGUGGCAAAAAAUGAUUGUCUCACCAAUUGUCAGCACGUUUUCUUCCAGCACGUUUGCUUCCAGCAAAGUUGUCAGUUCUUAUGAUUAGAUGAAAAAUCUAGAAUUAUUCUAUCAUUUACACAUCCAUAUGACCUUUGUGAUAUGUGAUGAUGUGAGGUAUUCAACCGUGUCUAACUACUAAUUAUUGCCUUCUUCUAUUUGUUGUAUAGGAAAAGAUGAAAUGGAACUCAAAUUUUAGUGGUCGCACAAGUGUGGAGCCAGUUGAUGACCAAGUUUUUCAAUUAGUAUUUUAGUUUGAAUUUAGAGUACACAUAUGUAUGAGUUAUUUGACAAUGCUUGUUUAUGAGAGAUUGAAUGAUACCUAUCUAUAUUAUAUUAAUUAUAAUGUUAUUAAAUAAA